AUACGUAGGGUGCAAGCGUUAAUCGGAAUUACUGGGCGUAAAGCGUGCGCAGGCGGUUUUGUAAGACAGUGGUGAAAUCCCCGGGCUCAACCUGGGAACUGCCAUUGUGACUGUAAGGCUGGAGUGCGGCAGAGGGGGAUGGAAUUCCGCGUGUAGCAGUGAAAUGCGUAGAUAUGCGGAGGAACACCGAUGGCGAAGGCAAUCCCCUGGGCCUGCACUGACGCUCAUGCACGAAAGCGUGGGGAGCAAACAGGAUUAGAUACCCUGGUAGUCCACGCCCUAAACGAUGUCAACUGGUUGUUGGGGAUUUAUUUUCUCAGUAACGAAGGUAACGCGUGAAGUUGACCGCCUGGGGAGUACGGCCGCAAGGUUAAAACUCAAAUGAAUUGACGGGG
rnacentral:rRNA from 1 species